rnacentral:lncRNA from 1 species
UGAACAGGGAUGAGACGAUGUGAAUUACGAUGAGUUUUAAAAAGUGAUGUGGGGUAGGGCGAAGUGAUGUAAGGAGAGGCUAACUGAGUUGACUUGAGCUGGGAUUUGAUCGUAUGAGGUGAGGUGAGGUGAGUUGAGGGUGAAGUGAGGUGAGGUAAUGUUAGGAGAGGCUAACUGAGUUGACUUGAGCUGGGAUUUAAUCGUAUGAGGUGAGGUAAGGUGAAGCAGGGGUGAGGUAAAAUAAAGGGAUAUGAGGUGGGAUUCGAUCAGUUAAUGAUACUAGACCGGAUUCAGAUGAGAUGGGCGGAGACGAGAUUGUACGUGAGACACAAUGAGUUGGGAGCGAGGUUUGUGAAUUUUAAAAACUCACGACGUUGCGUGCAGGUACUGAUAAGACCACGAAGUGCGCAUUGUUUCAUGUUAGCCACAGGAUAGUAUAAGGCAGACGCAGUCGGUUAGUGACUAGCAAGGAGGAAGUGUCGUGUCUGCAACGUGUUUGCCCAGAGUUUCUUAUCUACAUUUUUGUGUGUGCUGUGUUGCGUAGAAUUUAAGCCUUUAAGCUUAUGAUUUUCUGUCCUGGGAAUAUUACAUUGUGAGCCACCGGGAGGGAGCCGGUGUGGGUGAUAAUUGUACUGGCCACGGACUGGCACAUCUCUGGUGUGUGUAUGUACUAAGCGUGUGGUUCAACUUGACGGCCACAUAAAUUCACACCCCACCCUACCCCUAUCCCUACCCAUCUCCUUACCAAACAUCAGCCGCUGACGUCAUCACACGUGGAGCACAACCUCGACUUCCCCUGUAACAAGAUGGCGGCUAGCAGACGUGGAACAGACGUCAUCUGCUUAGGACUCCUCCUCUUGCUUCUGGGACUUCCAGGAACAACAUUAUCUGCAACUACAUCCGGACAAACAACAUCGAUACGACCAAAAACAACGGCGGAACGACAGACAUCAACAGAACCUGACACAAAUAUAAAAACACAACCACCAACAGAACAAGAAACAACAACAGAACAAGAAAAAACAGCAAAAAUACUAACAAGCAAA